rnacentral:rRNA from 1 species
UACGUAGGGUGCGAGCGUUAAUCGGAAUUACUGGGCGUAAAGCGUGCGCAGGCGGUUUUGUAAGUCAGAUGUGAAAUCCCCCGGGCUUAACCUGGGAACUGCGUUUGAAACUACAAGGCUAGAGUGUGGCAGAGGGGGGGUGGAAUUCCACGUGUAGCAGUGAAAUGCGUAGAGAUGUGGAGGAACACCGAUGGCGAAGGCAGCCCCCCUGGGAUAACACUGACGCUCAUGCACGAAAGCGUGGGGAGCAAACAGG